UACAGGGGGGGCAAGCGUUGUUCGGAAUUACUGGGCGUAAAGGGUUCGUAGGUGGCUCACUAAGUCACACGUGAAAUCCCUCAGCUUAACUGGGGAACUGCGUGUGAAACUGGAGAGCUUGAGGGUAGGAGAGGAAUGCGGAAUUCCAGGUGUAGCGGUGAAAUGCGUAGAUAUCUGGAGGAACACCGGUGGCGAAGGCGGCAUUCUGGACUAUUUCUGACACUGAUGAACGAAAGCCAGGGGAGCAAACGGGG
rnacentral:rRNA from 1 species